CUUGCUCCCUGAUGUAAGCGGCGGACGGGUGAGUAACGCUUGGGUAACCUGCCUGUAAGACUGGGAUAACUCCGGGAAGGGGGGGCUAAUACCGGAUGGUUGUUUGAACCGCAUGGUUCAGACAUAAAAGGUGGCUUCGGCUACCACUUACAGAUGGACCCGCGGCCCAUUACCUAGUUGGUGAGGUAACCGCUCACCAAGGCGACGAUGCGUAUCCGACCUGAGAGGGUGAUCCGCCACACUGUGACUGAGACACGGCCCUCAUCCCUACGGGAGGCAGGAGUCUGGAAUCUUCCGCCAUGGACGAAAGUCUGACCGAGCAACGCCGCGUGAGUUAUUAAUGUUUUCAGAUCGAAAAGCUCUGUUGUUAGGGAAGAACAAGUGCCGCUCUUACAGGGUGGCACCUUGAUGGCAGGUACCAAGCAAGCCAUGGCAAACUACGUGGCUGCAGCCACGGUGAUACGUAGGUGGCAAGCGCUGUCAGGAAUUAUAGGGAGUAAACGGCUCGCUGGCGGUUUCUCAAUUCUGAUGUGAUAUUUCCCGGCUCAACCCACUACGCACAUAGUAAACUGGGGAACUUUGAGUGCAGAAGAGGAGAGUGGAAUUCCACGUGUAGCGGUGAAAUGCGUAGAGAUGUGGAGGAACACCAGUGGCGAAGGCGACUCUCUGGUCUGUAACUGACGCUGAGGAGCGAAAGCGUGGGGAGCGAACAGGAUUAGAUACCCUGCUAGUCCACGCCGUAAACGAUGAGUGCUAAGUGUAAGGGGUUUCCGCCCCUUAGUGCUGCAGCUAACGCAUUAAGCACUCCGCCUGGGGAGUACGGUCGCAAGACUGAAACUCAAAGGAAUUGACGGGGGCCCGCACAAGCGGUGGAGCAUGUGGUUUAAUUCGAAGCAACGCGAAAAACCUUACCAGGUCUUGACAUCCUCUGAUAAUCCUAGAGAUAGGACGUCCCCUUCGGGGGCAAAAUGACAGGUGGUGCAUGGUUGUCGUCAGCUCGUGUCGUGAGAUGUUGGGUUAAGUCCCGCAA
rnacentral:rRNA from 1 species